CACCUCAAUUGCAUUUCUACAUAAUGUUCAACUAAAACAUGGAUACAACAUGGACUUCUGCUCUCAAAAUAAUGCUCUUGAUUUUUUUCGUUAUUGCAUCAGAUAUGUGCAAGGAAUCAGAAGAAAGAGGACCAGAAGUGGAACAAUGUGACGAUGAACAAUGCCAAAAAAUAUGUUAUUGUCUUCCAAAAUGUCCAAAAGAAAUGUAUGGGAAAUGUGUCGAUGGAAAAUGUAGCUGCUAUACCGCACCACCAUCUGUUGGCGGUGUUCCUUCUUUAGUACCCUAAAUUUCAAUUUAAGUAUUGAAACCGAAAAUAAAGUAUUGGGUUGGAUUUUAUA